rnacentral:lncRNA from 1 species
UUUCAGAUCCAAACACCAAUGGCCGAGACCCAAACAAGCGGCCGCCAUCAUCACAGGCACAACGCGCAUCACCUGCACAGGCCGCCGCCCUGUAAGGGGAAGCUGAUCACGGUGCUGAGCAUAGAUGGAGGAGGUGUGAGAGGCAUCAUCCCGGGAACCAUCAUCAACUUUCUCGAGACGAAGCUUCAGGUGGGAAACCAAUCCAUCGUAGCCUUAGGGAUGAACCAGUCAAGUGUGGUCAACGACGAACUGUUCUGUGAGUGCAGGAACUCGACGGACCGGAUGCCAGGGUGGCAGAUUACUUCGACGUGGUUACAGGGACGAGCACAGGAGGACUGCUCACGGCCAUGAUCACCGCUCCUGAUGAGAAGCAGCGCCCGCUCUUCUCAGCCAAGGACAUCAUUGACUUCUACCUCCAGAAUUGCCCGAAGAUCUUUCCUCAAGGGUCGGUCCACGGCUCUUGCGUGCCCUUGUUCUGACGCACAGUUCCGAUUCUACCUCUGCUAACAUAUCAAACUCUCUAUCUCCUUGCAGAUCUGGAUUUCUCAGCUCGGUAAGGAAGUUGGCAGGUGCAAUUAUGGGGCCUAAAUACGACGGCAAGUACCUGCACUCCAAAGUCAAGGACCUGCUCAAAGACAUCAAGCUCAGUCAGACCUUAACGAACGUCAUAAUCCCAGCCUUUGACAUCAAGCUUCUCCAGCCCAUCAUCUUUUCAUCCUUUGAGGUGCCUCUUGAGUAGUCUUAAUCUUCAACAAUGGAGAUCUGAUGUCUGUAGAUCUGGUCAUAUUCAUGCCUUGUUACUCUCAGGCGAGAUUGGAGCCUCUGAAGGACGCGCAUGUAGCUGACAUUUGCAUCAGUACAUCGGCGGCGCCGACCUUCCUUCCGGCGCACUACUUCGAGACCCAAGAUUCCAAUGGAAACACUCGUAGCUACAAUCUCAUCGAUGGAGGUGUUGCAGCGAACAAUCCAGUAAGCAAGAAUCUAUGAGUAGCUUCCGAUUGCUUCCUUCUUUCGCUUGAUCUGCUUGCCGGUGACUGACUUGCCACCGUUUCUUGCGAUCCAGACCUUGGUGGCGAUGAGCCAGAUCAAGAAGGAGAUGUUCCUGAUGAACCAGGACUUCCACUCCUACAAGCCGAUCGA